CACCUUCCCACAGAGAAAAUUCCUCUGUUGUUUUAAAUAUUUAUCUGUGUUUCCAGAGCUACAGACCUUGAACUUCUUGCUCCCAGGGGAUCUAUACCAGCCUGGAGUUUGUUUGUAUGUGGUUUCAUCGUAGACAUUUCGUUGUGGGCUGUCCAGUGAUGCCCAGGAACAAGGCUACUCAUGCAUUGAGUUCUGUUGGAGCAUGUUCCCAGUGAUGUUUGAAUUUUAAACAAGAAGCACUGUGAUAUAAUAGCUCAGUUGUUUUAAAUGGACUGUCCCGUCUCCUCUUGGGGAAAAUGAAAGUCACACCAGAAAAUCAUCUAGUAUGCUCCUCUUGUUUCCAACUGCAAUUUACUGUGGAGGCAAGGAACAAAGAGAGUCCUGCUCUAGGAAAACAGACAUGACUGGGAGCUGGGAGAGCGGAAGAUGCAGGCGAUCAUAUCCCCAGGCCUUUCUGCCGAGAGAGCAGGUCCUGCAGCCUGGGGAUCCAUCACCAUCAACAAAGCUCAGCUCAGGUUUACAAAGCAGAAAUAUCACUUUGUUGACAAAGGUCCAUCUAGUCAAAGCUAUGGUUUUUCCAAUAGUCAUGUAUAAAUGUGAGAGUUGGACCAUAAAGAAAGCUGAAUGCUGA
rnacentral:lncRNA from 1 species